rnacentral:rRNA from 1 species
CCUACGGGAGGCUGCAGUGGGGAAUAUUGCACAAUGGGGGAAACCCUGAUGCAGCAACGCCGCGUGAGUGAAGAAGUCUUUCGGUAUGUAAAGCUCUAUCAGCAGGGAAGAAGAUGACGGUAUCUGAGUAAGAAGCGCCAGCUAACUCCGUGCCAGCAGCCGCGGUAAUACGUAGGGGGCAAGCGUUAUACGGAUUUACUGGGUGUAAAGGGGGCGUAGACGGGGAGACAAGUCUGAGGUGAAAGCCCGGGGCUCAACCCCGGGACUGCUUUGGAAACUGCCUGACUGGAGUGCUGGAGAGGCCAGCGGAAUUCCUUGUGUAGCGGUGAAAUGCGUAGAUAUAAGGAAGAACACCAGUGGCGAAGGCGGCUUGCUGGACAGUAACUGACGGUGAGGCGCGAAAGCGUGGGGAGCAAACAGGAUUAGAUACCCGAGUAGUC